rnacentral:rRNA from 1 species
AAUGAACGCUGGCGGCGCGCCUAAUACAUGCAAGUCGAGCGAGAAGACGUAGCAAUACGUUUGUAAAGCGGCGAACGGGUGAGGAAUACAUGGGUAACCUACCCUCGAGUGGGGAAUAACUAGCCGAAAGGUUAGCUAAUACCGCGUACGCUUCUUGGACUUCGGUUCAGGGAGGAAAGCGAUACCGUGGGUAUCGCGCUCUUGGAUGGGCUCAUGUCCUAUCAGCUUGUUGGUGAGGUAACGGCUCACCAAGGCUUCGACGGGUAGCUGGUCUGAGAGGACGAUCAGCCACACUGGCACUGCGACACGGGCCAGACUCCUACGGGAGGCAGCAGUAAGGAAUAUUGCGCAAUGGGCGAAAGCCUGACGCAGCGACGCCGCGUGGGGGAUGAAGGUCUUCGGAUUGUAAACCCC